GUGAGGAAUAUUGGUCAAUGGACGGAAGUCUGAACCAGCCAAGUAGCGUGCAGGAUGACGGCCCUAUGGGUUGUAAACUGCUUUUAUGCGGGGGUAAAGUGAGUGACGUGUCAUUCAUUGCAAGUACCGCAAGAAUAAGGACCGGCUAAUUCCGUGCCAGCAGCCGCGGUAAUACGGAAGGUCCUGGUGUUAUCCGGAUUUAUUGGGUUUAAAGGGAGCGUAGGCCGUCAGGCCAGCGUGUUGUGAAAUGUCGUGGCUCAACCAUGGACUUGCAGCGCGAACUGCCCGACUUGAGUGCGCAGAAAGCAGGCGGAAUUUGUGGUGUAGCGGUGAAAUGCUUAGAUAUCACGAAGAACCCCGAUUGCGAAGGCAGCCUGCUGUAGCGCUACUGACGCUGAAGCUCGAAAGUGCGGGUAUCGAACAGGAUUAGAUACCCCAGUAGUCC
rnacentral:rRNA from 1 species